rnacentral:sRNA from 1 species
UUAGCAAAGAAGAAGCAAGGUGGAAACAUAAAAAACAGGUAGCAAAAUGAAAUUGGUUCUAUUGUUGAUUGUUGUCGUCUACCUGACCAACGUGACCUGUGACGAUCCGUCCUGUUUCUACGUCUGCUGUAACCCUUCCUGCUCAGUCAAAUGUAGACUGUGCUAUAACCAAGGAAGUAAUGGGGUAAAUCAGAAAAGACAGAUUCCACACAAACGUGGUCUGUAUUAUCCACUUCACAGAGAGAAGAAUGUUCCCGUCAAUCCUAGAGCCUAGUUAGAAGACAGAAAACACUCUUACCAUUUUCUAAAGAAGCUGAUGUUCCCGCUGUCUUUAAAGUCAAAUAAAUAUUACUUUACCUU